CACACACACACACACACGGGUCCUGAACUAUUUUUCAUCAAUUGCUUAACUCCUACAAAAUGCAAUUUCCUUACUUGUAAAAUGGAGGUACUAAAAGAGUACCUGACAGGCUCCUGAGUAAAGAACACUCUGAGCUAGGUUCAAUGGAUGUGACCUACUGUAUAUGAUAGUCUGUAUAUACUGUAUAUAUAUAAUAAAAAGAUACGUACUGUAUAUGAUAUAAUAAAAAGUAGCUAAUAAAUGGAACUAGCCUAAAUGUCUAUUAGAGUAGAUAAAUGGACAAAGAAAAUGUGGCAUGUAUCCCUUAGUAGAUGGAUUAUAAACAACAAAAUUUUUGUCAUAUUUGCAGAAUAAUUAUAUUUGCAGAAUAUAAUUGGAUACAACUGAAGAUUAUUAUGUUAAAAUAAGCCAGACUUGGAAAGACAAAGACUGAAUGUUUUCCUUCAUAUGUGGCUCCUAGAUUUUAAUUUGUAUAUGUAUAUAUACAUGCCUGUGUGGGUGUAGGUAUAGGUAUGAAACUAGAAAAGUGAACCAUGAGAGGUGAAGAAGGGGUCUUUAGAGAAGGGGGGUACUAGAAUAUAUCUGAUAUUAAUUAAAUACAGGGGGUUACUGUAUAGAGAAGGAAGGCUAAAAGGGGGCCAGGGGGAUGAGAGGUGGGAGGAAGGAGGAUCAAUAAGAACAAAGUAUUUAUGGAAAUGCCAGAAGAGAAUCCAUUAUUCUGUAUGCAAAUGUAAGAAAACAAUGCAAAAGUAUGAAACAAGCAGUGAGGACAGAUGACCUGCUAAAGAUGCCAACAAAACUCCAGUUCACUGGAGCAUGACAGGCAGAAUGUGGCUCCACAGAUGUCUGUGUCUGAGAGCCUGUUACUGGGCCACCUUCAGAUGAAGCAUGCAUCAGAAUUACCCUGGAUUAUGUGACUGGGCCCAGCGGAAUGUGAAGAGUUAAUAGAGUCUGAGGAGGAGGCAAAACAAGGGGGUCAGAGAGAGGAGACUUGAAAAAGACCUGUGUUGCUGCUUCUGAAGACGAAGGAAGGGGACUGCCAAGGAAGUCUCCAGAAACUGGGUCAGCCUCAGUUGCCAGGCAGCAAAACAGACCCAGGUUUACAACAGCAAGGAACUAAAUUCUGUCAACAACCUAAGGGAACAGGAAUUCUGCUCUAGGGCCUCUGGAGAGGAAUAUAGUCCUGCUGACACCUUGAUUUAGUACUGGACUUCUGACUUACUGUGCAAAGAUAAUAAAUCUGCAUUGUGUUCAGCUGGAGUAUAUUUAUUGUUUUCAGAGACAACAAGAGACAAGAUUGUGCUGGAAACUUCAAAAUUUGUUACGAGCACAGAGUGUUAUUUAGCAGUAGAACACUUAGCUGGCCUGUAUGCAGGAGCAUGGCAAAACAGUACGUAUCUGUUUAGAGGGUAGGUCAUUUACUGUUCCUACCUUAGAAAAUUAAAGAGAAAGGAAGGAUAGUGUAAGAGAUUUGCCAUAAAGCUAAAGUUCUUCUGAAUAUAUGCCAUUGCUCUUAUUUAAGACUAUUAGAAAUAAAGGAAGUAGGUAAUGAUAUUUUUUUAAAUAAGAUUGAAGAGCAGACCUUCAGAACUUAUUCAUCUUGUUUGAAACUUUCUACCCAUCAAUUAGCAACCUCCCAUUUCUCCCUCCUCCAGCCCCUAGCACCUACCAUCAGUCAACCUUUGCUUCUACGAGCUUACUAACUCCAUAUACCUCACACAAGUGGAACCACAUGGUAUAGGACCGUCUAUGACUAGCUUAUUUCAAAGGCAAAAUUUUUUAUAUAUAACAUAAUUCUUUAUUGACUCUCUGGGAAUUUCACAUCAUUCACCCAAAUCCCGCUCACCUCCCAGUCUCUCCCUAUCCACCCUUCACCUCUGCAUCGUCCCCCGAAAAGAAACCACCCCCAAAAAAUUAAAAACAAAAACAAAGCCACCUCGCUCUCCCAUCUUUCCUGCCUCUCCAACACUUCUUCAUUCAUCCUAGUGACACUGGAAGCUUUAGUGUGUCACACAAUACACCCUUUUGUCCAAUCAGCUCCACCCACAAAUGUUCACUGCGAUGAGUCAUUGGUCUGGUUCAAGGCCUCUGGCACUCCAUCAUCAACCAGACCCUCGCUGAAACUCCUCUUGUAUAUUCAAAGGCAAAUCUUUGAUGAUCACAAGCAGACCGAUCUCUGGUCUACAGACAUGAGUUCCAGGAUAGCCAGAGCUGUUACACAGAAAAACCCUGUCUCAAAAAACCAAAGAAAAGAGCCUUUGUCCAGUGACUGAUGGAGGCAGAUACAGAGAUCCACGGCCAAGCACCAGGCUGAGCUCCGGGAAUCCAACUGAUGAGAGAGAGGAGAGAUACUGCAGGUGAGGGACGUCGAGAUCACGAUGGGAGGACGUGCAGAGAUGACGGACCACACUAGUGGAAGCCCAUGACCUGUGGACUGGUGGCUGUGGAGCCCCCCAUGGGACUGGACUAGGACCUCUGCAUACGGAAGACGGUUUUUUGGCUCAAAUUGUUUGGGGGACACCCAGGCAGGGAGAUCUGUCCCUGGUCUAUGGGCAGGCUUCUGGAAUCCAGUGCUGUGGUGUGACACCUUGCACAGCCUUGGUGCAGUGGGAAGGGGCUUGGACCUGCCUAGGCUCAGUGUGCUGGGCUUUGCUGACUCCCCAUGGGAAACCUCAAUUUGGGAGAUGUGGGGAUGUGGGGUGGCUUGGGAAAGAGGGCUGGGGGGGUGGGAGGAGGGAGGAGGGGGGGUCUGUGGAUAGCAUGUGGAGUGAGUAGAAAAUUUCCUAAUAAAGAAAAAUGAAAAAAAAAGAGUGGUCUCUGUAACAUGUUGAUUUCUGCAUGUCAUAUUCCUCAGUUUCACCUACUACUCUUAAAAUAUAUGAUAUGCUAAGAGUCUUAGGAUCCUUGUUAGAUAUGUUGAGCAUUUACCACAUAGGAUACUGCUAUUUUCAGUGUUUCACAUUUCUAAAAGGAAAAGAACAUUUUCCAUCAAUAUGAGGGUAUUGUAUUUUCUUUUUUGUGGUUUGGGUAUGGAACCUUACAAAUGCUGGGCAAGUGCUCUACCACUGGGCUACUACUUCCCCUGCCCCAAUCUAUUGGAUUUGUAUAUUAUUUUUAGCUAUAUACUACUGAACAGAACAGAAUUUAAGUGGCUAAGUGGUCCAUCCAAGUUUGAGGUUUCUAAAAAAGAAAACUGAAACUGUAAACAACAUGAUAAAAGAUCGGAAAAAUCUCUUUCAAAGUUGGUGCUCUUCUGGCAUGGUUUUCUUGUAGAAAAAUAUGCAUGACAUGAUUUUUAAAAGAAAGUCAAAAUUAACACAAAAUUUACCAUCUUAACUGUUUUAGGAGUAUACUUCAGUGGUAGUAAGAAUAUCCUUAUUACUCAACCGUCACCACUACCCACUUCCAGAUCUUUUUCAUUACGUCCUACUACCUUGGUGGUGGAUACAGAAGAUGUUUUGCAACAAAUGGGAGGCACAGAAGGCAAAAGAGUGCCUCUCUCUGAGGACAACCACAGCUGCCUCACAACCAGCAGCCAGGCCCUGCCUACCAUUUACUUCUGAAACUGGAGGAGACUAGAAUGACGUUUAGUUUUUUUGUUUUUGUUGUUUUUUUUUUUCUUUUCUCUAGGCAAAGCAGACAUUAUUAAUUCUUCCUGAGCUGGAGCAAGAGCAGGGACAGAACAUUAACUUUCUGCUUCCAGGACUGUUACAAACAAUCUCAUAAUCAAAACCAUCAAUUUCACUGCUGUGGCCACUAGAUUCCCACCUACAACUGCAGCCCAGUCUGGGAAUUGGGACUUCUAUCAUGAGGCAUUCAAGGGACCCAGUGUUGAGUUGGCCUGAUUCUGAGGACUGCACUGCUGCCUCUUCCUAGGACAAUAUGUCCAUGUGAUAAUGGAAGUUCUGCCCAGCAGUUCCCUAUGUCCCUAAAGCCUGUCUUCCUCUUGCCAGUUUGCCCAGGGUAAAUCAGUGGUUCUCAAAUAUCAUGGCAUGUGAGUCACCUGGAAGCCCUGCUAAAGAGAUAGCUAAUCCACAUCCUUACACUGCCUAAUUCAAUUAGUAUGGGACAGAGCCUGAGAAUUUACAUCUCUGACAAGUUCCCAGGAGGUGCUAAUCCUACUGAUCUUAAGGCCAUGCUUGGAGAACCUGUGAUCUAUCCUUCCCCAAGUUACCAGUCAACUAUAGUCUAUGUACUUGACAUAUCAUCAAACUGAGGUCUGAAGGGUAAGAAAAGCACAGUUAACUAACUGAGAACCCCAAAUAGGACCUUCACACCAGAGGAGAGCACACACCUCAUGCUGCAAUAAGGAAAGUGAGUAUGGCACCAAUACUAAGGAGAAAGCAUGAAGGCCAGAGCACAGACUGUGCAGUAAGGGCAGGCUGAAAGUCGCCUGCAACUAUCAGCUUUGGACAAUGAGUCUCUAGACUUCUAAGUGUAUGAAUGGUAUCUUAACUUUUCUUGGAUUAAUAUUCAAACUAGCAUGCAUUCUCUGAACAGUGACAUUACUGGAAGGAGGGCUGGCACUGAGGUAAAUAGUGAGGAAAAACUUUUUUUUUUUUGGUUUUUUUGAGACAGGGUUUCUCUGUAUAGUUUUGGUUCCUGUCCUGGAUCUCACUCUGUAGACCAGGCUGGCCUCAAACUCACAGAGAUCCGCCUGGCUCUGCCUCCCGAGUGCUGGGAUUAAAGGCCUGCACCACCACCGCCCGGUGUGAGGAGACACUUUUAAGUUGGCUAUGAAAUAAUUUUUAGUUUGGUGUAAUAAGAACUGCAAAAUAAAAUAAAUCAGGAGAGCUAUCAGUCACACAAAAGCAGGACUGGGGGACAUACUUGCUUACUGGGUCUG